rnacentral:tRNA from 1 species
CUCCUGAUAGCUCAGUUGGUAGAGCGUUGGACUGUAAUUGUUACAUCACUAUAGUGAUCCACAGGUCGUGUGUUCGACUCACACUCAGGAGA